GUACAAGAGAGACGUGUUGCUCCCCUUCCUGGCCCCCUCCGGCUUUACCGCUUCCUCAGCCUCUUAAUACACCUAAAUAAUGAUGUGAUGUAUAGAUUAUCUCCGGCAGUGUAAAUAAUCUGUCUGCAGGAGUUUACCUGGAGAGAGUUCCGGGGGUCAACGCCCCCGCGGCCCGGUCUGUGACCAGGCCUCCUGGUGGAUCAGAGCCUGAUCAACCAGGCUGUUGCUGCUGGCUGCACUGCACUGCACUGCAAUGUGUAAAUUUAUUUAUUAUUGUGUGUGUGUGACCUUCGGCCAGUUUUGUCUGGUGUUUGAUGGACCAGGCAGUUGCUUGCUGAGUCAAGAGGAACACUAUGUUGAUUACCACAAGCAACUGCAUUGACAACAAACAUCAACCUACUAGUCACUGUACAUCACUACUGAUGUAGUCACUGACAGGAGAAAAAAACCUGCUAACUUGUUGACAGAAUUUAUCUUGAAGGUGAAGAACAACAGCAACACA